AUACGGAGGGGGCAAGCGUUGUUCGGAAUUACUGGGCGUAAAGAGUACGUAGGCGGAUCGUUAAGUUAGAGGUGAAAUCCCAGGGCUCAACCCUGGAACUGCCUUUAAUACUGGCGAUCUAGAGAUCGAGAGAGGUGAGUGGAAUUUCCAGUGUAGAGGUGAAAUUCGUAGAUAUUGGAAAGAACACCAGUGGCGAAGGCGGCUCACUGGCUCGAUACUGACGCUGAGGUACGAAAGCGUGGGGAGCAAACGGGAUUAGAUACCCUAGUAGUCC
rnacentral:rRNA from 1 species